rnacentral:rRNA from 1 species
ACGAUCUGUAGCUGGUCUGAGAGGAUGAUCAGCCACACCGGGACUGAGACACGGCCCGGACUCCUACGGGAGGCAGCAGUGGGGAAUAUUGGACAAUGGGGGGCAACCCUGAUCCAGCCAUGCCGCGUGUGUGAAGAAGGCCUUUUGGUUGUAAAGCACUUUAAGCAGUGAAGAAGACUCCGUGGUUAAUACCCACGGACGAUGACAUUAGCUGCAGAAUAAGCACCGGCUAACUCUGUGCCAGCAGCCGCGGUAAUACAGAGGGUGCAAGCGUUAAUCGGAAUUACUGGGCGUAAAGCGAGCGUAGGUGGCUUGAUAAGUCAGAUGUGAAAUCCCCGGGCUUAACCUGGGAACUGCAUCUGAUACUGUUAGGCUAGAAUAGGUGAGAGGAAGGUAGAAUUCCAGGUGUAGCGGUGAAAUGCGUAGAGAUCGUGGAGGAAUACCGGAUGGCGAAGGCAGCCUUCUGGCAUCAUAUUGACACGUGAGGUUCGAAAGCGUGGGUAAGCGAAACAGGUUAACG